rnacentral:lncRNA from 1 species
GUCUUCACGCAUGCCCAAAACUUUCCUCUCUUUCUCUCUUACAUGAAAUUUAGUUGUGGACCAUGUCAAUGUAGGAAUUAGUUUGGAUUUCAAAUUCUAUGAGAUAGAGUUUUAGAAAACCAAAAUUCUUUCCUUAUGGUACUGAUUUUACUCAAUUUUUUUUUAGAUUUUUAUGAUUUUUAUGGCACAUAAUAUGCACCCUUUUUUGGUGGUCCACAGCAGAAAAAGGAGGGGAUGCCCAAGAGU